rnacentral:snRNA from 1 species
CUGCUUCCUUGCACAGCAAGUACACUAAAACUGGAACUGCACAGUGGCGAUUAGCAUUGCCCCAAUGGAAGGGUGGCAUCCCAAUCUGUGUAAGAGCCAUAGGUUUGU